rnacentral:rRNA from 1 species
UACAGAGGUCCCAAGCGUUGUUCGGAAUUAUUGGGCGUAAAGGGUGCGUAGGCGGUUUGGUAAGUCUUAUGUGAAAUCUACAGGCUCAACUUGUAGUCUGCAUGAGAAACUGCCGGGCUUGAGUAUGGGAGAGGUGAGUGGAAUUCCUGGUGUAGCGGUGAAAUGCGUAGAUAUCAGGAGGAACACCUGUGGCGAAAGCGGCUCACUGGACCAUAACUGACGCUGAUGCACGAAAGCUAGGGGAGCAAACAGG